rnacentral:rRNA from 1 species
GACGAACGCUGGCGGCGUGCUUAACACAUGCAAGUGGAGCGACGAACCAGGGCUUGCCCUGGGGCAGAGCCGCGAACGGGUGAGUAACACGUGGGUAACGUGCCCCGAUGACUGGGACAACCCGGGGAAACCCGGGCUAAUACCGGAUGUGCCCCCUCACAUCAGUGAGGUGUGUAAAGGAAGCUUCGGCCUCCGCAUCGGGAUCGGCCCGCGGCCCAUUAGCUUGUUGGUGAGGUAACGGCUCACCAAGGCUGCGAUGGGUAGCUGGUCUGAGAGGAUGAUCAGCCACACUGGGACUGAGACACGGCCCAGACUCCUACGGGAGGCAGCAGUGGGGAAUCUUGCGCAAUGCGCGAAAGCGUGACGCAGCAACGCCGCGUGGGGGAAGACGGCCUUCGGGUUGUAAACCCCUUUCAGUUGGGACGAAGGUCGGGCGGUUAACAGCCGUUCCGGCUGACGGUACCUUCACAAGAAGCCCCGGCUAACUACGUG